GUCUUUGAUUUUUAGAGUUGUUAUUUAGAGAAGUGUUACCCGCGUUGGACCGUGUACAAGUUUCCUGGAAUGGAACGUCAUAGAGGGUGAGAAUCCCGUCUUUGACACGGAUCCCAAUGCAUUGUGGUGCGCUCUCGAAGAGUCGAGUUGUUUGGGAAUGCAGCUCUAAAUGGGGGGUAAAUUCCAUCUAAAGCUAAAUAUUGGGGAGAGACCGAUAGCGAACAAGUACCGUGAGGGAAAGAUGAAAAGAACUUUGGAAAGAGAGUUAAACAGUACGUGAAAUUGCUAAAAGGGAAACGCUUGAAGUCAGUCGCGUUGGCCGGGGAUCAGCCUUCCUUUUGGUUGGUGUACUUCCUGGAUGAUGGGUCAGCAUCAGUUUUGAUCGGUGGAUAAAGGUGAGGGGAAUGUGGCAUCUUCGGGUGUGUUAAGCCCCUUAUUGUAUCAUCGGUUGGGACUGAGGAACUCAGCACGCCGCAAGGCCGGGUUUUUAACCACGUUCGUGCUUAGGAUGCUGGCAUAAUGGCUUUAUCGACCCGUCUUGAAAACGGACCAAGGAGUCUAACAUGCCUGCGAGUGUUUGGGUGGAAAACCGAGGSGUAAUGAAAGURAAAGUUAGGAUCUCUGUCGUGGAGAGCACUGACGCCCUGCCCAGACCUUUUUGACGGUACAGCGGUUGAGCAUGUAUGUUGGGACCCGAAAGAUGGUGAACUAUCCUGAAUAGGGGAAGCCAGAGGAAAUUGGGGAAGCUCGUAGCGAUUCUGAAGUGCAAAUCGAUAGUCMAUUUGGGUAUAGGGGCGAAAGAUAAUCGAACCAUCUAGUAGCUGGUCUGCCGAAGUUUCCCUCAGGAUAGAAAACACUYUUUGUCAGAUUUAUGUGGUAAAGCGAAUGAUUAGAGGCCUUGGGGUUGUAACAACCUUAACCUAUUCUCAAACUUUAAAUAUGUAAGAACGAGCCGUCUCUUAAUUGGACCGCUUGGCGAUUGAAGAGUUUCUAGUGGGCCAUUUUUGGUAAGCAGAACUGGCGAUGCGGGAUGAACCGAACGCGAGGUUAAGGUGCCGGAAUUCACGCUCAUCAGACACCACAAAAGGUGUUAGUUCAUCUAGACAGCAGGACGGUGGCCAUGGAAGUCGGAAUCCGCUAAGGAGUGUGUAACAACGCACCUGCCGAAUGAGCUAACCCU
rnacentral:rRNA from 1 species